rnacentral:rRNA from 1 species
AGCAGCCGCGGUAAUUCCAGCUCCAAUAGCGUAUAUUAAAGUUGUUGCAGUUAAAAAGCUCGUAGUUGAAUUUCGGGAUCAAUCUGCCGGUCGUGCCUCCGGUAUGCACUGGUUUUAUUGGUUUCUCCCUUCUGACGAACCUUGAUGUCAUUAAUUUGGUGUCUUGGGAAAUCAGGACUGUUACUUUGAAAAAAUUUAGAGUGUUUAAAGCAGGCUCACGCUUGAAUACAUUAGCAUGGAAUAAUGAAAUAGGACGUUUGAUUCUAUUUUGUUGGUUUCUAGGAUCGACGUAAUGAUUAAUAGGGAUAGUUGGGGGCAUUAGUAUUCAAUUGUCAGAGGUGAAAUUCUUGGAUUUAUUGAAGACUAACUACUGCGAAAGCAAUUUGCCAAGGAUGUUUUCAUUAAUCAAGAACGAAAGUUAGGGGAUCGAAGACGAUCAGAUACCGUCGUAGUCUUAACCAUAAACUAUGCCGACUAGGGAUCGGAUGAUGUUAAUUUUUUAAUGACUCAUUCGGCGCCU